rnacentral:lncRNA from 1 species
GGGAAAAUGUCAGAUACAAGAUUUCUGCUGGAGCAAGUAUUUGUGGAAGAAAUGAAUUGGCUGUAUAUGAUACUGCUGAUGGUCUACAGAAUAUCACUGACCCUUCUGGAAAGAAAGGCUCUUUCAAAUAUGCAUGAAAAUGUGAGUAAUCUGAUGAUGUAUUUAAUCUUGGAUUCACUAUAUUCCUUUUGGGGAAACUAAUAGAACUUCUCUGUCCAAUUCUAUUGCUUCAGUUUAGACUGGAGAUAAGAAAUGCAUCAAUGAGUCACAUGUUCACGUUCAUUGUACACAAGGUCGAAAUGCUUAGCCUUUAGAUUGACCUUGUGGCUUGCCAUACUUUGUAAAAGAUUCCUUUUACAAACUUAGCAAAAGACGUUUCUAAAAGAAGUUUUCUCUGUAGCAAGAAAUACUUGUUAAAUUUACUCCAAAUUCUCUGGUUCCUUGAAAUACCUUUUUCCCUCUAAAUAUCCUAACCACUGAAAUGUCUAUUCCAGAUCUUCCACACUUUCCAUGUGUGUGAAUUUACUUUUUCAUUAAAAUGUACUCUGUAACAAGUAAAACAAUUUGGUUCGUAUCUUUGUAAUGCAUAAGAUGCCAUAGAAUUUUUAUUUUUUUUUUUGCUAUCAUACAAUUACCAUGUUUCAACUACCUACAACACUUUAUCAUGUGAGAACUAGUGAUCUGCUUGUAGCAGCUCCCUCAGCGUAGGCAAAGUACAGUUCAAAGGGAUUCACAAGUGGUACUGAAACGCAUGUGAAGAAGGAAUAGGUAUUUAAGUUCAGCUCAGCUCAUACCAACCCUCACUGCAGCUAUUUUGACAGCAUUUGCUGAAGUCAUUUGCUGUUUGAAUCCCUCUGAAAACAAUCAGUAUUUCUCCCUUGACUUUAUUAGACUUGUGUUUUUCCCCAUUAUGAGGUGAAAUCACUCUGUAGCACACCAGAGAUUUAACUUGCUAUGCUUUCACCUAAAAUGCCAGGGAUUUCACCUGCAACAGAAAAAUUGGGUCAUCCAAUAGUAAAUGUUGAUAUCACACAAGGAAUGGUGACAUUCCUGUCAGCAAAUGCAAGUGGAAAGAAUAUUAAUGUCUCAGAAACAUGAAAGGUCAAAAAUAUUUAUUCAAAUAUUCCAACAGUUACUCAUUUAUUUAUUUAUAUUUGCUUGGUAUGCUUUCCUCUUGGAUUUGGUAAACAUAAUGCUGUAUUAGUAUUCCUGCAACGACUUAUGCUUGUGCAUAUAGUUGAAAUAAUUCACCAAAUAAAUGCUCAAAAUAGCUUUGCA